CUGCCAUAUCAUGUUGAAACACUGGAUCUUACAAUCUCCAAAGUUAAGCAACAUUGAGCCUGAUCAGUAUACAGAUGGGUGACCACUUGGGAAUACCAGAUGCUAU